UACCUCAACUGGUGAGAGAAAGGCAUUAACGUUGCCAGGGUUAGGGGUUCGAUUCCCACUGGCACCCCCA